rnacentral:rRNA from 1 species
CCUACGGGAGGCAGCAGUCGGGAAUAUUGCGCAAUGGAGGCAACUCUGACGCAGUGACGCCGCGUAUAGGAAGAAGGUUCUCGGAUUGUAAACUAUUUUCGUUAGGGAGGAUAAUAGACUGUACCUAAGCAGGAAGCCCCUGCUAACUAUGUACCAGCCGCCGCGGUACUACAUAGGGGGCAAGCGUUAUCCGGAAUUAUUGGGUGUAAAGGGUGCGUAGACGGAAGAACAAGUUGGUGGUGAAAUCCCUCGGCUCAACUGAGGAACUGCAACCAAAACUAUUCUCCUUGAGUGUCGGAGAGGAAAGUGGAAUGCCUGGUGUAGCGGUGAAAUGCGUAGAUAUUAGGAGGAACACCAGUGGCGAAGGCGACUUUCUGGACGAUAACUGACGUUGAGGCACGAAAGUGUGGGGAGCAAACAGGAUUAGAUACCCGUGUAGUC